UGAAGGUAUAGUUUUGAAAGAACUUUGAGAAAAAUGUUUACAAGCUUAGAGAAAACACAUAUAUACAAAAGAUCUAAAAGAAUCAAAAAAACCUUGACGGGUUAGGAUUUGAGAAGAGCCCAGGUGGUGAGAAAGUCUUGGAAAGUCACUGAUAUGAGCCGAAGAAGUCGUGAUCGGGCUCGAAUGAACAUGGAUGACCAGAGCAAGGUCGGAGACGGUCAUAGAACUCGAAUCAAACAAGGCCUGAGCCAAGCUUCUUCGUGGUCAGACCUUGAAACUUCAGUAACCAGGUGUGUAAGAGCUAUAAAAGGCCGGUGUAUGACUUCAAUGGCCUUGGAAGCCAUGGGUUCUGGUGGUUUUAGGGCGGAAGUGUAAAGAGGUGGCUAGGGUUUCAGAGAGAGAUUAAGAGAAUGAGGGAUUCAAAAGUGGAUGGGGAUGCAAAA
rnacentral:lncRNA from 1 species